GAUGAACGCUGGCGGCGUGCCUAAUACAUGCAAGUCGAGCGAACAGACGAGGAGCUUGCUCCUCUGACGUUAGCGGCGGACGGGUGAGUAACACGUGGAUAACCUAUCUAUAAGACUGGGAUAACUUCGGGAAACCGGAGCUAAUACCGGAUAAUAUAUUGAACCGCAUGGUUCAAUAGUGAAAGACGGUUUUGCUGUCACUUAUAGAUGGAUCCGCGCCGCAUUAGCUAGUUGGUAAGGUAACGGCUUACCAAGGCAACGAUGCGUAGCCGACCUGAGAGGGUGAUCGGCCACACUGGAACUGAGAAACGGUCCAGACUCCUACGGGAGGCAGCAGUAGGGAAUCUUCCGCAAUGGGCGAAAGCCUGACGGAGCAACGCCGCGUGAGUGAUGAAGGUCUUCGGAUCGUAAAACUCUGUUAUUAGGGAAGAACAAAUGUGUAAGUAACUAUGCACGUCUUGACGGUACCUAAUCAGAAAGCCACGGCUAACUACGUG
rnacentral:rRNA from 1 species